rnacentral:rRNA from 1 species
GAUGAACGCUAGCGGCAGGCUUAAUACAUGCAAGUCGAGGGGCAGCAUGAUUGUAGCAAUACAAUUGAUGGCGACCGGCAAACGGGUGCGGAACACGUACACAACCCUCCAACAAGUGGGGGAUAGCCCAGAGAAAUUUGGAUUAAUACCCCGUAACAUAGCGAUGUGGCAUCACAUUGCUAUUAUAGAUUUUUCGCUUGUUGAUGGGUGUGCGGCUGAUUAGAUAGUUGGCGGGGUAACGGCCAACCAAGUCUACGAUCAGUACUUGAUGUGAGAGCAGGAUCAGGCAAACGGACACUGAGACGCGUGCCCGACGCCUACGGGAGGCAGCAGGAAGGAAUAUUGGACAAUGGACGGAAGUCUGAUCCAGCCAUGCCGCGUGAAGGAUUAAGGUCCUCUGGAUUGUAAACUUCUUUUAUAAGGGACGAAAAAAGGCUUUUCUAAGUCGUCUGACGGUACCUUAUGAAUAAGCACCGGCUAACUCCGUGCCAGCCGCCGCAGUAACAC